CCUACGGGUGGCUGCAGUGAGGAAUCUUGGUCAAUGGGCGGGAGCCUGAACCAGCCAAGCCGCGUGAGGGAAGAAGGUACAGCGUAUCGUAAACCUCUUUUGUCAGGGAGCAAAGUCGGGGACUCGUCCCCGGCUGAGGGUACCUUAAGAACAAGCAUCGGCUAACUCCGUGCCAGCAGCCGCGGUAAUCCGGGGGGUGCGAGCGUUAUCCGGUUUUAUUGGGUUUAAAGGGUACGCAGGCGGCCUGUUAAGUCAGCGGUAAAAGCCCGGGGCUCAACCCCGGCGAGCCGUUGAAACUGGCGGGCUGGAGUUGGAGAGAAGUAAGCGGAACGCGCGGUGUAGCGGUGAAAUGCUUAGAUAUCGCGCAGAACCCCGAUUGCGAAGGCAGCGUACUGGCUCCAAACUGACGCUGAGGCACGAAAGCGUGGGUAUCGAACAGGAUUAGAUACCCUUGUAGUC
rnacentral:rRNA from 1 species